rnacentral:rRNA from 1 species
GCUUGUCUCAAAGAUUAAGCCAUGCAUGUCUAAGUAUAGUACCUUAUACUGCGAAACUGCGAAUGGCUCAUUAAAUCAGUUAUAAUUCAUUUGAUGGUACUUACUACUCGGAUAACCGUAGUAAUUCUAGAGCUAAUACAUGCGUAAAGUCCCGACUCUUUCUGGGGAGGGAUGUAUUUAUUAGAUAAAAAACCAAUGCGGGUUCUGCCCGGUUUUGUGUUGAAUCAUAGUAACUUUUCGAAUCGCAUGGCUUCACGCCGGCGAUAGUUCAUUCAAAUUUCUGCCCUAUCAGCUUUCGACGGUAGUGUAGUGGACUACCGUGGCGUUAACGGGUAACGGAGAAUUAGGGUUCGAUUCCGGAGAGGGAGCCUGAGAAACGGCUACCACAUCUAAGGAAGGCAGCAGG